UUUCCGUAGGUGAACCUGCGGAAGGAUCAUUACUGAGUAAACGGGUCUUUUAGGCCCCUACUCCCACCCUUUGUGUACCUUACCAUAUCUUCUGUUGCCUUGGCGGGUUGGACCGCCUAAGGACCUCGUGUUCUUAGGCACCUUUCCGCCAGGGGAACACCUUUAAACUCUUAUGAAUUGAGUCGUCUGAGAAUUUAUGCAAAUAAAUUAAAACUUUCAACAACGGAUCUCUUGGUUCUGGCAUCGAUGAAGAACGCAGC
rnacentral:misc_RNA from 1 species